AGUGAACGCUGGCGGUAGGCCUAACACAUGCAAGUCGAACGGCAGCACAGUAAGAGCUUGCUCUUACGGGUGGCGAGUGGCGGACGGGUGAGGAAUACAUCGGAAUCUACUUUUUCGUGGGGGAUAACGUAGGGAAACUUACGCUAAUACCGCAUACGACCUACGGGUGAAAGCAGGGGAUCUUCGGACCUUGCGCGAUUGAAUGAGCCGAUGUCGGAUUAGUUAGUUGGCGGGGUAAAGGCCCACCAAGGCGACGAUCCGUAGCUGGUCUGAGAGGAGGAUCAGCCACACGGGAACUGGGACACGGUCCAGACUCCUACGGGAGGCAGCAGUGGGGAAUAUUGGACAAUGGGCGCAAGCCUGAUCCAGCCAUACCGCGUGGGUGAAGAAGGCCUUCGGGUUGUAAAGCCCUUUUGUUGGGAAAGAAAAGCAGCAGGUUAAUACCCCGCUGUUCUGACGGUACCCAAAGAAUAAGCACCGGCUAACUUCGUG
rnacentral:rRNA from 1 species